ensembl:lncRNA
AAUUGUAUGUAACAAAAUAUAACGCAAUAAAAAGCGAAAUAUAACUGUCGUCAUGAACUGGAAAAGGAAAGUUGAAAGGACAAUAUUUCCGAGCCUCCACUCAGUACCAUCAUCCCAGAAAAAAUAGCUUCUGCCACGAGCAGUGAAUUUACUGCAGGAAUAAGUGCAGCUGUAGUGGGCCUCGCUUUAGGGGUCAUCAUUGGCACUGUCAUUUACAGGAAACACAAAAAGGCAAAUUCUGAGAGAGAAGAGAUAGACACUGAAGCUUACUUAUAAUUACUGUAUUAUUGCAAGCUCAUCCAGUGCAGGACUAAGCUGACUGGAAUAACAAGACGG